rnacentral:rRNA from 1 species
GCACGGAGUUAGCCGGGGCUUAUUCUCCCGGUACUGUCAUAUCAUCCCGGGUAAAAGAGCUUUACAACCCUAAGGCCUUCAUCACUCACGCGGCAUUGCUGGAUCAGGCUUUCGCCCAUUGUCCAAUAUUCCCCA